rnacentral:rRNA from 1 species
UACGGAGGGUGCGAGCGUUGUCCGGAAUCACUGGGCGUAAAGGGCGCGUAGGUGGCCUGUGGAAGUCUGCGGUGAAAGCCCGGCGCUCAACGCCGGGUCGGCCGUGGAUACUCUCGGGCUUGAGCUUACUAGAGGCAGAUGGAAUUCCGGGUGUAGCGGUGGAAUGCGUAGAGAUCCGGAAGAACACCGGUGGCGAAGGCGGUCUGCUGGGGUAAUGCUGACACUGACGCGCGACAGCGUGGGGAGCAAACAGG